rnacentral:rRNA from 1 species
GAUUAACGCUAGCGGCAGGCCUAAUACAUGCAAGUCGAGGGGCAGCGCGAGUAGCAAUACUUGGCGGCGACCGGCGCACGGGUGCGUAACACGUAUGCAACCUACCUUUAACUGGGGCAUAGCCCCGAGAAAUCGGGAUUAAUACCUCAUAACAUUGCACGAUGGCAUCAUCAAGCAAUUAAAGUUCCAACGGUUAAAGAUGGGCAUGCGCGACAUUAGCUAGUUGGUGAGGUAACGGCUCACCAAGGCUACGAUGUCUAGGGGUUCUGAGAGGAUUUACCCCCACACUGGUACUGAGACACGGACCAGACACCUACGGGUGGCUG